UGUGUGUAAUUCUAUCAGCCCCCCACAGAACAGCCCUGAAAGAAGGACACGUCACUCACUUCACAUGGGAGGACGCUGUGAGUCAGUCCUGUAAGCUGCCGGGGGUCCUGUACAUGACACAGGGCAAAGCUGACCUCAAACCAGCCCAAUAUCCCUUGAAAGACAGCAUUUCCAGGGCAAAGAGCAAAAAAGCAAAAGCCCAGAUCCUGGAAUAUUCAGAAGGUUCAUUUGAGGGAGAAUGUUGUCACCGGGGUGACUUGAGGCAACAGUUGAUACCGGUAAGUACAAAAAUAAGGUUAGAAAAGCAAGUGUCAAAUCCCUGUGGCUCUGGGCUAAGAAAUGCACCCUUGUCCGAGGCUGACUGCUGGUCCCCUGAGAAGUAACGGCUCCCUUUCUGCUACUGCUCAGCUCUUCGUGAGGGAACCCGAAAAGAGGCUGGGAGUGAGGGGAGACAUCCGCCAGCACCCUUUGUUUCGGGAGAUCAACUGGGAAGAGCUUGAAAGAAAGGAGAUUGACCCACCGUUCCGGCCGAAAGUGAAAUCACCGUAUGAUUGCAGCAAUUUCGACAAAGAAUUCUUAAAUGAGAAACCCCGGCUGUCGUUUGCAGACAGAGCCCUGAUCAACAGUAUGGACCAGAACAUGUUCAGAAACUUUUCCUUCAUUAACCCGGGGAUGGAGAGGUUGAUAUCCUGAAGCACCUCCCCUGACACACGAGGGAAUUUGCCUUGAGGCUGCGAACUGGUUCAAGUGAUGUUCCUUGGAUGCCUUUUCACCUUGGGAAAGAAAAGAAACACUCAAUAAUACAGGCCGAGACCUUUUAGCUCCUCACUGACCUUGUCUCUGCAGCAGAAGCCAACUGCACUUCACUAAUAACCACGCCCCUCGGUGCCUCUCCUGUCCUCUCCCGUGGCCACUCUUGAAGCUAGGUCAUCACUAACCGCAGUUACGGACUGGCACAAUGGUUCUCCUCUGCACUGUGAAAAGACCUGAAAAGUUAAUAUUGCCCUAAGUCAUGGCUCUUCCCGUGGGCACCAAGGGCUGGUCAAUGACCAGAGGGACACAGUGAGCACAGACUUCUCAAGACCGAAGCAGCACGUCGCCUGGGACAGGAGCGGACUUCAUUCAGCCGCAAACAAGUAACCACUAACCCGUUUUGUUCUGUUCACGUCUGUGGAAGUGUAAAUGGUGGCGGGGGAAGGCCUGGAUAGGUUUUUAUGGGAAUUCUUCACAAUAAACGUAGCUUGUAACUUGAGAUUUACAAAUCCAUUCGUUCUGAUUAGCCAUGAAAUUCUCGGGAAAGAGGAAAAUGGAAAGUAAGAGGAGCUCAUGUCACUGAGAUGGAGGGUGUAAUAAAACACCUACUGUGGCUAUCUUGUCAACGUAGACAUUAGAGUCAAACAAAAGAUGGAAUCACUUACUCCUGCCAAUAGGACCAUCCCACCCACCCAUUCUCAGUUGAUUUCAGUAUCAGUGGAAGUUACUCAUUACCAUCCUCUUCUCACUGUAACAAGAAAGGAAGCGUAUAAUUCUUCCAACAGAAAAGAAAACCAAUCUCUUAUUAUACCCUUAAAGUUGAUUUGAUGACUCAUUUGUCUCCCUUUAGGCAUUAUUCAAAAUAAAAGACCCACGUGUGGUACUUGUAGCAGUCGAUCUUGUUUAACUAGAAUUCUAGCUAUACAUUUUUAAGUAUCUGUGCUGUUUGUAUAUUUUGAUAAAAUAUUGUGACUUAAUGAUAAAGAGGUGGCUAUGUAAAAAUGGAAUAAAAGAAAGAAAGAAA